rnacentral:misc_RNA from 1 species
GUUUACAGAUUAGUGUAAACUUACAACACAUCUAUUACCAUUCCCGUGAACUUACACUCUAUCACUAACAUGUUAGUUUCAUAUGGGUGGUUGGAUUACUUCUCUACCACCACAAACGCGUCUGAAAUUUUUUUNNAUAUUAAAUUUAAUUUGGAGCUUCUUACGCCGAUCUGCUACAAUCGGCCUUACCCAAUCCCACUCUACGAUUGGCUAAAUCAAACUCCACCCAUAGAUUCUGCUGAUGAAAAUUCCCUACGAUAUUACUCGCUGCAUUUAACAUCUCUGAUCGUCCAAUGCCUACGCAGUGGACCCCGCC